rnacentral:rRNA from 1 species
UGCCAGCCGCCGCGGUAAUACGAGGGGGGCAAGCGUUAUUCGGAAUUACUGGGCGUAAAGGGCGCGCAGGCGGCCUGUUAAGUGAGAAGUGAAAGCCCCGGGCUCAACCCGGGAAAUGCUUCUCAUACUGGCAGGCUAGAGGAUGGGAGAGGAAAAUGGAAUUCCCGGUGUAGCGGUGAAAUGCGUAGAGAUCGGGAGGAACACCAGUGGCGAAGGCGGUUUUCUGGACCAUUACUGACGCUGAGGCGCGAAAGCGUGGGGAGCAAACAGGAUUAGAUA